rnacentral:rRNA from 1 species
AUAACAGGCGGGUUGGACACCCCCCGCUGGGCACUGCUUCACGGCGUGCGCGGCGGGGCCGGCCCUGCUGAAUUAUUUACCCGUGUCUUUUGCGUACUUCUUGUUUCCUGGGUGGGCUCGCCCGCCCUCAGGACCAACCACAAACCUUUUGCAAUAGCAAUCAGCGUCAGUAACAACGUAAUUAAUUACAACUUUCAACAACGGAUCUCUUGGUUCUGGCAUCGAUGAAGAACGCAGCGAAAUGCGAUACGUAGUGUGAAUUGCAGAAUUCAGUGAAUCAUCGAAUCUUUGAACGCACAUUGCGCCCUUUGGUAUUCCAAAGGGCAUGCCUGUUCGAGCGUCAUUUGUACCCUCAAGCUUUGCUUGGUGUUGGGCGUCUUUUGUCUCCAGUUCGCUGGAGACUCGCCUUAAAGUCAUUGGCAGCCGGCCUACUGGUUUCGGAGCGCAGCACAAGUCGCGCUCUUCGCCAGCCAAGGUCAGCGUCCAGCAAGCCUUUUUUUCAACCUUUGACCUCGGAUCAGGUAGGGAUACCCGCUGAACUUAAGCAUAUCAAUAAGCGGAGGAA